CAGUCGCCGCGGUAAUACGAAGGGGGCUAGCGUUGCUCGGAAUCACUGGGCGUAAAGGGUGCGUAGGCGGGUCUUUAAGUCAGGGGUGAAAUCCUGGAGCUCAACUCCAGAACUGCCUUUGAUACUGAAGAUCUUGAGUUCGGGAGAGGUGAGUGGAACUGCGAGUGUAGAGGUGAAAUUCGUAGAUAUUCGCAAGAACACCAGUGGCGAAGGCGGCUCACUGGCCCGAUACUGACGCUGAGGCACGAAAGCGUGUGGAGCAAACAGGAUUAGAGACCCCUGUAGUCCCUGUCUCUUAUAA
rnacentral:rRNA from 1 species